UUGCUUCUGAAGCCUACAUUACUAAAACUGGAACAAUACAAAGAUUAGCAUAACCCCUGUGCAAGGAUGACACACAAAUCUGUGACAUGUUAAAAAAAAAG
rnacentral:snRNA from 1 species